rnacentral:rRNA from 1 species
CCUCGGGUGGCAGCAGUGAGGAAUAUUGGUCAAUGGGCGUCAGCCUGAACCAGCCAAGUCGCGUGAGGGAUGAAGGUUCUAUGGAUCGUCAACCUCUUUUAUAAGGGAAUAAAGUGCGGGACGUGUCCCGUUUUGUAUGUACCUUAUGAAUAAGGAUCGGCUAACUCCGUGCCAGCAUCCGCGGUAAUACGGAGGAUCCGAGCGUUAGCCGGAUUUAUUGGGUUUAAAGGGUGCGUAGGCGGCCUUUUACGUCAGCGGUGAAAGUCUGUGGCUCAACCAUAGAAUUGCCGUUGAAACUGGGAGGCAUGAGGAGGUUGGAGGCAGGCGGAAUGCGUGGUGUAGCGGUGAAAUGCUUAGAGAUCACGCAGAACCCCGAUUGGGAAGGCAGCCGGCCAAGCCAUGACUGACGCUGAUGCACGAAAGCGUGGGGAUCAAACAGGAUUAGAUACCCGGGUAGUC